rnacentral:rRNA from 1 species
GAACCUGAGAGUUUGAUCCUGGCUCAGAACGAACGCUGGCGGCAGGCCUAACACAUGCAAGUCGAACGCUCCGCAAGGGGAGUGGCGCACGGGUGAGUAACACGUGGGAACCUACCUUCUGGUACGGAAC